GAUGAACGCUAGCUACAGGCUUAACACAUGCAAGUCAGGGGCAGCAUGAAGUUUGCUUGCAAACUUUGAUGGCGACCGGCGGAUGGGUGAGUAACGCGUACCCAACCUGCUCCCUUCCCGGGCACAGCCCUUGGAAACGAGGAUUAACGCCCGAUGGCGUCUGGAUGCCGCAUGGCAUUCCGACCAAAUGCGAAGGAAGGGGAUGGGGGUGCGUCCCAUUAGCUAGUUGGCGGGGUAACGGCCCACCAAGGCAUCGAUGGGUAGGGGUUCUGAGAGGAAGGUCCCCCACACUGGAACUGAGACACGGCCCAGACUCCUACGGGAGGCAGCAGUGGGGAAUAUUGGGCAAUGGACGCAAGUCUGACCCAGCAACGCCGCGUGAAGGAAGAAGGCUUUCGGGUUGUAAACUUCUUUUAAGAGGGAAGAGUAGAAGACGGUACCUCUUGAAUAAGCCACGGCUAACUACGUG
rnacentral:rRNA from 1 species